rnacentral:lncRNA from 1 species
GCCCGUAGGCUCAGCUAUCCUUUUUCAAUGGGCCUUCUUCUCUAAUUUUUUUAUUUUUGCUAGAUUCGACUCUUUGCAGUAGUCUCUGCAACUGGUAUAGCUAAAGGCUUAGCAUGCAACCAAAGGCUUGUAACAAAAAAAAGGGGAGAAAGUAAAAGUUAAAAGAUGGAUGGCUCUGAGGCAGGUGAUGCAUGUGCAUCUUGAGGGCUGGCCUGACU